rnacentral:rRNA from 1 species
AUGACAAGCACUUUGAAAAGAGGGUGAAAAGAGCCUGAAACCGUCACGGGGGAAGCGGAUCGCGUUGGAUUGAUGGGCGCUUGCGUGUUCAGCCUUCGGGUGCAUUGGCGCAAGUUGCUUAUCCGCUGUGGGUUUUCGGGGGUCGAUUUUGGACCCCUGGGGACUGAGGGCUCCCUUUUACAGGUUGAGGACAGCGGAGUGACGACGCGAUACGACCCGUCUUGAAACACGGACCAAGGAGUCUAGCGCGGGUGCGAGUCGGAGGGUGCAAGCCCGUGGGCGAAGUGAAAGCGAGUGUAAAAACGAGCAGUUUGGGGCGGCAUAAGAUCGUUGAUCUUAAGACCGACCCAGAGCAGUUGCGCUGGGACCCGAAAGAUGGUGAACUAUGCCGGAGUAGGGCAAAGCCAGAGGAAACUCUGGUGGAGGCUCGUAGCGGUGCUGACGUGCAAAUCGCUCGUCGAACUUGGGUAUAGGGGCGAAAGACUAAUCGAACCAUCUAGUAGCUGGUUCCCUCCGAAGUUUCUCUCAGGAUAGCGGGCCGACAGACGUUGUUUUGUGC